CAGCCGCCGCGGUAAUACGUAGGUGGCAAGCGUUGUCCGGAAUUAUUGGGCGUAAAGGGCUCGCAGGCGGUUUCUUAAGUCUGAUGUGAAAGCCCCCGGCUCAACCGGGGAGGGUCACUGGAAACUGGGAAACUUGAGUGCAGAAGAGGAGAGUGGAAUUCCACGUGUAGCGGUGAAAUGCGUAGAGAUGUGGAGGAACACCAGUGGCGAAGGCGACUCUCUGGUCUGUAACUGACGCUGAGGAGCGAAAGCGUGGGGAGCGAACAGGAUUAGAUACCCGCGUAGUCCCUGUCUCUUAUAC
rnacentral:rRNA from 1 species